CGGCCUGCCGCGGCCCCGAGCUCACCUGAGGCGGAGGCGCCCGCGACUCCCCGCCAGCUCCGCCAGUCUCCGCCAGCCCCGGCCCUCGGGCGCCUGGUCCAGGCGCUCGCUAAGCCUCCGCAGCAGCGGCUCCCGCAGGCGGUUGAGGGUCGCGCCGGCCGGAGGCGCGAGCAGCGGCCCCGUGGGGGCGGCCGAGGGCGGCAGGGCCUGUAGCGGGUCCCCCAACAGCGACAUGGCCCUCACCGGCAACCCUGGACUGCCGGGGUUCCCGCCCGCCCCGUCACGGGCCUCGGCCCCGGGGCACCUUCCGCUCGCCUCCGAGCCGCGGAGGCAGGGGCGGAAGAACAAAUCUGGCAGCGCGGCACGGCCCUCAGAGGAGGAAGCUCCGCUCCCCGCCCCAACUAGACAGCGGGAAUCAUCGGUUUACACCGCGUCAGACUGCCGCCCGCAAUCUCCGUCAUCAAAGCAGGCAACUCUGUAGAGGAUGCCUUUCCCUGGAAUGAUCCGGAAUGGACGACACCUGAGCUCUCUCUGCCAAUCUUAGCAACAUCCAAGGCCAUUAUCCCUUUGAAAACUAUGGCUUCGUUUGGGACAAAAAGGAAGUAACUUACGAAAUGUGACCAGUCAGGUAGUUCCCUACACAAGGCUUCCUGGCCCAAUUUCUGUUGCCAUUAGCUUUUCAUCACCCAAGGCCGCAGGAUUUUCUGACCAAUAAUUUGGAUACCUAUAUUCUUAUACAUGUUGGCGAGGAAGGUGCGCCAUACAGUCUCCACCACAUUCUAGCACAAGCAGUCAUUAAACUUCACUCUAGCAUAAGUUAAGAAUUCAGACUGCAGUGAGAUGGCUAAGAGCAUGAAAGAUCUGCUCGAUUCAAGUGUUAGGAGCUUGAAUAAGUUUCUUAAUUUCUCUGCCUCAUCUAUUAACAUAGGACUGACAAUACAAUUUAUAUAGAGUUGUUGCCAGAAUUAAAGGAGUUGAUGUAUGUGAAGCACUUAACUCGGUAACUGGCACAUCGUAGAUAACUCAAUAAAUGCUAUUACCCUUACACAUACAAGUGCCGUUUCAUACUCAGUUUGACUUGGCAAGCCUUUCCCAACCACUUCAGGUGCCUUCCUGUUUUGUCCUCAAUCACUGUACAAAUAUUUUCUGAGGAUCUAUUACCUGCAAGUGCCAAUUAUGGAAAUAAAAUCUUCUAGUCUUUACUGGAA
rnacentral:lncRNA from 1 species